GACGAACGCUGGCGGCGUGCUUAACACAUGCAAGUCGAACGGUGAAUCGCCUUCCUUUUUGGUGGGUGUGGAUGAGUGGCGAACGGGUGAGUAACACGUGAGUAACCUGCCCCCUUCUUCUGGAUAACCGCAUGAAAGUGUGGCUAAUACGGGAUAUUCUGGGUCUGUCGCAUGAUGGGUCUGGGAAAGAUAUUGUUUCGGUGGGGGAUGGGCUCGCGGCCUAUCAGCUUGUUGGUGGGGUGAUGGCCUACCAAGGCGGUGACGGGUAGCCGGCCUGAGAGGGUGGACGGUCACACUGGGACUGAGACACGGCCCAGACUCCUACGGGAGGCAGCAGUGGGGAAUAUUGCACAAUGGGCGCAAGCCUGAUGCAGCGACGCCGCGUGAGGGAUGGAGGCCUUCGGGUUGUGAACCUCUUUCGCCAGUGAAGCAGGCCUGCCUCGUUUGUGGGUGGGUUGACGGUAGCUGGAUAAGAAGCGCCGGCUAACUACGUG
rnacentral:rRNA from 1 species